rnacentral:rRNA from 1 species
UACGAAGGGUGCAAGCGUUAUUCGGAUUUAUUGGGUGUAAAGGGUGUGUAGACGGUAUGUUAAGUCCGCUGUUAAAUUUCCCGGCCUAACUGGGAGCCAGCGGUGGAUACUGACGUGCUAGAGGAUGGAAGAGAGAAGUGGAAUUCCCGGAGUAGCGGUAAAAUGCGUAGAUCUCGGGAGGAACACCAAUGGCGAAGGCAGCUUCUUGGUCCAUAUCUGACGUUGAGACACGAAAGCGUGGGGAGCAAACAGGAUUAGAUACCCUGGUAGUCCACGCCGUAAACGAUAAUCACUAGAUGUUGGUUUGACUUAGUCGGAUCAGUAUCGUAGCUAACGCGUUAAGUGAUUCACCUGGGGAUUACGGUCGCAAGACUAAA